GACGUAGGGCGCGAGCGUUGUCCGGAAUUAUUGGGCGGUAAAGGGCUCGUAUGGCGGUUUGUCGCGUCGGGAGGUGAAAUCCAACCUGGCUUAACUGGUCGGCUUGACUUUCGGAUACGGGCAGACUGGAGGUAUGCAGGGGAGAACGGAAUUCCGUGGUGUAGCGGUGAAAUGCGCAGAUAUCAGGAGGAACACCGGUGGCGAAGGCGGUCUCUGGGCAUGUCCUGACGCUGAGGAGCGAAAGUGUGGGAGGCGAACAGG
rnacentral:rRNA from 1 species